CCCUACGGGGGGCAGCAGUGGGGAAUAUUGCACAAUGGGGGGAACCCUGAUGCAGCAACGCCGCGUGAGUGAAGAAGUACCUCGGUAUGUAAAGUUCUAUCAGCAGGGAAGAAAAUGACGGUACCUGACUAAGAAGCACCGGCUAAAUACGUGCCAGCAGCCGCGGUAAUACGUAUGGUGCAAGCGUUAUCCGGAUUUACUGGGUGUAAAGGGAGCGCAGGCGGCGCGGCAAGUCAGAUGUGAAAG
rnacentral:rRNA from 1 species